UUCGACACGCGAAGAACUUACCAGGUCUUGACAUCCUCUGAAAACCCUAGAGAUAGGGCUUCUCCUUCGGGAGCAGAGUGACAGGUGGUGCAUGGUUGUCGUCAGCUCGUGUCGUGAGAUGUUGGGUUAAGUCCCGCAACGAGCGCAACCCUUGAUCUUAGUUGCCAUCAUUAAGUUGGGCACUCUAAGGUGACUGCCGGUGACAAACCGGAGGAAGGUGGGGAUGACGUCAAAUCAUCAUGCCCCUUAUGACCUGGGCUACACACGUGCUACAAUGGACGGUACAAAGAGCUGCAAGACCGCGAGGUGGAGCUAAUCUCAUAAAACCGUUCUCAGUUCGGAUUGUAGGCUGCAACUCGCCUACAUGAAGCUGGAAUCGCUAGUAAUCGCGGAUCAGCAUGCCGCGGUGAAUACGUAUCCCGGG
rnacentral:rRNA from 2 species